AGCGAACGCUGGCGGCAGGCCUAACACAUGCAAGUCGAACGAACCCUUCGGGGUUAGUGGCGGACGGGUGAGUAACACGCGGGAACGUGCCUUUAGGUUCGGAAUAACUCAGGGAAACUUGUGCUAAUACCGAAUGUGCCCUUCGGGGGAAAGAUUUAUCGCCUUUAGAGCGGCCCGCGUCUGAUUAGCUAGUUGGUGAGGUAAUGGCUCACCAAGGCUACGAUCAGUAGCUGGUCUGAGAGAAUGACCAGCCACAUUGGGACUGAGACACGGCCCAAACUCCUACGGGAGGCAGCAGUGGGGAAUCUUGCGCAAUGGGCGAAAGCCUGACGCGGCCAUGCCGCGUGGAUGAUGAAGGUCUUAGGAUUGUAAAAUCCUUUCACCGGUGAAGAUAAUGACUGUAGCCGGUGAAGAAGCCCCGGCUAACUUCGUGCCAGCCGCCGCGGUAAAAC
rnacentral:rRNA from 1 species